CACCCUCUGCUGGGUGCGAUAAGAGAGUUAUAGAAUCAUACUCCUUACGAAUAAAUAGAACCGGGACCUGUCCCUGAUCGUGGUGUGCAAGCCUGGACAAGAUUCACCAGGAAGCCUGAAGCGAUCAAUACGGGGCCCACCUUCUUUAUAAGAGGAGGUUUGGUUCACCUCUCACCGGCCCGAGCGGAGGGUUU
rnacentral:other from 1 species